rnacentral:rRNA from 1 species
UACGGAGGGUGCAAGCGUUAUCCGGAUUUACUGGGUUUAAAGGGUGCGUAGGUGGGUAGGUAAGUCAGUGGUGAAAUCUCCGAGCUUAACUCGGAAACUGCCAUUGAUACUAUUUAUCUUGAAUAUCCUGGAGGUGAGCGGAAUAUGCCAUGUAGCGGUGAAAUGCUUAGAUAGGACAUAGAACACCAAUUGCGAAGGCAGCUCACUACGGGAUUAUUGACACUGAGGCACGAAAGCGUGGGGAUCAAACAGG